AGAGUUUGAUCCUGGCUCAAAACGUACGCUGGCGGCACGCCUAACACAUGCAAGUCGAACGAAGUAGCAAUACUUAAUGGCAGACGGGUGAGUAACAUGUGGGUAUCUACCCUUUGGCCUGGAAUAACACGAGGAAACUUGUGCUAAUACCGGAUAAGUCUUUACGGAGAAAGCUUUAUGCACCAUUGGAUGAGCCCGCACUUGAUUAGUUUGUUGGUAGGGUAAUGGCCUACCAAGACUAUGAUCAAUAGCUGAUUUGCGAGGAUGAUCAGCCACAUUGGGACUGAGACACGGCCCAAACUCCUACGGGAGGCAGCAGUGGGGAAUCUUGCACAAUGGAGGAAACUCUGAUGCAGCGAUGCCGCGUGAGUGAAGAAGGCCUUUGGGUUGUAAAGCUCUUUCGUCGGGGAAGAAAAUGACUGUACCCGAAUAAGAAGGUCCGGCUAACUUCGUGCCAGCAGCCGCGGUAAUACGAAGGGACCUAGCGUAGUUCGGAAUUACUGGGCUUAAAGAGUUCGUAGGUGGUUGAAAAAGUUGGUGGUGAAAUCCCAGAGCUUAACUCUGGAACUGCCAUCAAAACUUUUCAGCUAGAGUAUGAUAGAGGAAAGCAGAAUUUCUAGUGUAGAGGUGAAAUUCGUAGAUAUU
rnacentral:rRNA from 1 species